rnacentral:rRNA from 1 species
AUCGAUGAAGAACGCAGCGAAAUGCGAUACGUAGUGUGAAUUGCAGAAUUCCGCGAAUCAUCGAGUCUUUGAACGCAAGUUGCGCCCGAGGCUUGUCCAAGGGCAUUUCCGCUAGAGCGUCACCGCGCCCCCCACCGAUCCACUCUCGCCGCGAGGCGACAGUCGGGUCGAGUGAAAGUGGCCGUCCCGGUUUUUCCUAAGUGGUGGUCUUCGCGAGAAGGCUAUCCUUAGAAGAAGGGUCGGCUGAAAUGGAUGGAAUUGGGCCGCCGUGGUGACACAGUCCGCGAUCGGGUGAUUUUGUUGCGAGCCUCCUCCGGGAGGGUCGCCGUGAAUUUUUCUAAGUGCGAGUCUGCGUCCCCCAGUUGGCUUUGGUUACCUCAUGCAGGUCGAGCGCGCCCCUUGCGGCGCGCGUCACGCAUCAGACCUCUAAUCGGAAAAGACUACCCGCUGAGUUUAAGCAUAUCAAUAAGCGGA